rnacentral:lncRNA from 1 species
UAUUCUCCACUGGUUGAAUGCAAAUGGAAGCCAGAGGAAAAGGGAACCCUUGACACAGUUUUCAUAUAGAUUGGCCUCCAGGGCAGACAGCAGUGCUCUGGCUAUAUCAAAUAAAAGUGUCAAGAGUGAGCAUCCUUGCCUUGUGCUGAAUCACAAAGGAAUACCUUUCAGUUUUUCUCCAUUGAUUAUGAUAGCAGUGGGCUUUUCACAGUGGGCUUUACUGUGUUGAGAGGAGGUCUGAUGGCCGGGAGGACAGGAAGAAGGAACCCACAAUGAAGCAAAAGUUGCGUUUAACUCUGUCCUCACCAUUCCUCUCCUGGACCUGUCCUAAACUGGAAGCUGGGGGAGGAUGGAGUGCUGGAAUGCUGCAGAAGUCUCAUGGGAGGGCGCCUGGUGUUCACCACAUGUGUACACUGUUGCACGACCAG